GCAGUAGCUCAGUUGGUUAGAGCAUCGGAUUGUGGUUCCGAGGGUCGAGGGUUCGAGUCCCUUUUG
rnacentral:tRNA from 1 species